GAGGAGGAGGGGCAGGAAGAGGGGGAGGAGAGUCAGGAACAGUGUCUGGUUGGAAAUGUUUCUCAAUUUCCAUCUUUGUGGAGGCUUUUGGACUGAACUUUCCACACCGUUGUCGUAUUUGAGAGCACGAGGGCACAGAGUCACACGCUUCACACAAACACACACAGGGUUUGAUUGGUGGACGCCUCAGUGAAACUGAAUAGAAGGUCGUGCAGGUCCCUAGUGAACUCCUGAUGGACAACAUGUGAUUUCUCAUGCAGAACUGGUGGCAGUGCACACUUUAAGUUCCAGUAAUCAUUCAACAUCAUGUCCAUGUGAGACUCUAUUCUACACUGAGCACCUUCUUCGGUCAAGUCUGGACACAGUGACUCAUUAUUCUUGGUCAGCCAGGGCAAGUGGCUAAUUCUAUUCAUGAUCUUUAUUCAUUCCCCCCAUAAUUUAUCCUUCUUUUAUAUAUACAUAUAAACAUGUGCUGUUUUUUAUCAUCUCAGCAUAGCUUUGUGAGUAUCCUGGACAUUUUAUUGAAUCAUGGAAGAAAAGUUUCUUGAGGUUCAUCAAUGUAGUCUGUUCCUUUGACUAUAAUGGGUGUUAUUUGUUGUUUCCUUUGUAAUUUACCAUAAGCAGUUCACUGUUAAAUCUAUGCUAACUAAUUGUAAUUUCUUAUGUGCUGUACUGUAUGUUUUGGCAGUGAAAUUCUGGCAACCACAGCUGCUGGUAAUUUACUAUAAAGUUGAACUGUAAAAUGUCA